rnacentral:rRNA from 1 species
UUAUGGCUCAGGAUGAACGCUGGCGGCGUGCUUAACACAUGCAAGUCGAACGGACUAUUGAGAGCUUGCUUUGAAUAAGUAGUGGCGGACGGGUGAGUAACGCGUGGGUAACCUGCCGUAUGCUGGGGGACAACAGUUGGAAACGACUGCUAAUACCGCAUAAGCGCACAGAACCGCAUGGUUCAGUGUGAAAAACUCCGGUGGCAUACGAUGGACCCGCGUCUGAUUAGGCAGUUGGCGAGGUAACGGCUCACCAAACCGACGAUCAGUAGCCGGCCUGAGAGGGUGAACGGCCACAUUGGGACUGAGACACGGCCCAAACUCCUACGGGAGGCAGCAGUGGGGAAUAUUGCACAAUGGGGGAAACCCUGAUGCAGCGACGCCGCGUGAGUGAAGAAGUAUUUCGGUAUGUAAAGCUCUAUCAGCAGGAAAGAAAAUGACGGUACCUGACUAAGAAGCCCCGGCUAACUACGUGCCAGCCGCGGC